rnacentral:rRNA from 1 species
GACGAACGCUGGCGGCGUGCCUAACACAUGCAAGUCGAGCGGGGGGAGUUCUUCGGAACGAACCUAGCGGCGGACGGGGGGGUAACACGUGGGAAACCUGCCUGGGGGGGGGGAAAAAAAGGAUGAAAGUCCUGCAAAUACCGAAAAACCGGGGGCUGCCGCAGGAUGGCAUCGGCAAGGGAGCAAUCCGCCUCAAGAUGGGCCCGCGGCGCAUUAGCUAGUUGGUGGGGUAACGGCCUACCAAGGCGACGAUGCGUAGCCGACCUGGGAGGGUGAUCGGCCACAUUGGAACUGAGACACGGUCCAGACUCCUACGGGAGGCAGCAGUGGGGAAUAUUGCACAAUGGGCGAAAGCCUGAUGCAGCAACGCCGCGUGAGCGAUGAAGGCCUUCGGGUUGUAAAGCUCUGUCUUCGCUGACGAAAUCUGACGGUAAGCGAGGAGAAAGCCACGGCUAACUACGUG